GCUGCAUGGCUGUCGUCAGCUCGUGUCGUGAGAUGUUGGGUUAAGUCCCGCAACGAGCGCAACCCUUGUCAUUAGUUGCUACAUUCAGUUGGGCACUCUAAUGAGACUGCCGGUGACAAACCGGAGGAAAGGUGGGGAUGACGUCAAGUCCUCAUGGCCCUUAUAGGUGGGGCUACACACGUCAUACAAAUGGAAUGGUACAAAGGGUCGCCAACCCGCGAGGGGGAGCCAAUCCCAUAAAGCCAUUCGUAGUCCGGAUCGCAGUCUGCAACUCGACUGCGUGAAGUCGGAAUCGCUAGUAAUCGUGGAUCAGAAUGUCACGGUGAAUACGUUCCCGGGUCUU
rnacentral:rRNA from 1 species